GUCUGCUUAGCGCAGUCGGUUAGCGCGUCAGUCUCAUAGUAGUAUGAGUUCCUCACUGGGACGCAAUCUGAAGGUCGUGAGUUCGAUUCUCACAGCGGACA